AGGGAUUCCCUCAUGGGAAUUCGAUCGAUGGCUUUUCGGAGCUUGAAGAAGAAGUUAAUGUUCACCCAGGUGGGCAUGUUGUGGCACCAGUUCACUCCCUAAGCCGUGAAUAUCUUGAACUUCCUAGUGAAUUUAACACAAAACCUACCUACCAUCAUGAUUUUGGCUCGUGGUCAAACUUCUAUCCUGACUCUCAAAAGGUGCAGCAAUGCCAAAUGAAUUGCUUUGAGAGCCAAUUUUACCCCUUUCCCAUGGAAACUCGAUUUCACUAUGCUCCAUUCAAUAUGCAUUCCCAAGGUUACCCGCAUCAGUUCCAAUUCCAAGAUUUUCAGUAUUUUGUAGUCAUAGACUUUGAGGUUACUUGUGACAAGGAAAAGAAUCCCCAUCCGCAAGAGAUAAUUGAGUUUCCAUCUGUCAUUGUGAGCAGUGUAACUGGCCAACCGGAAGCAUAUUUCCAGACAUAUGUGCGGCCAACUUGCAAUCAACUCCUUAGUGAUUUCUGCAAGGAUCUGACUGGUAUCCAGCAAAUCCAGGUUAGUGAGGAUACCCUUUACCUCAUAAAAAUGAUGCAUAAAUGUAUAUGUUGUUUGCAAUGUUUUGUGUAAGUAUCCAGUUGACAUUUAUUAGGUUAGCCCUUAUUUUCUGUUUGAAUGCUAGACUAUCAGUGCCAUUGUUCUAAUGGAUCUUGUUGUUAAUCAGUGAGGCAUUGUUGGUAGGAGCUACAUUAAAUUGACAUUUACCUUAUCUGGUGGAUUUGCAUUUUUUCAAGCAUUACUUCACUUUUGUCAUUUUAAUAAUUGUAAUUAGGGGCAAAUUGUUAACAUUUUGGAAAAAUCAGAGUGACUAGCGUUUUGGAAUUUCUCAAUUUGAAUUUGGAGAAAAAAAUAUGGGAGGGUAUUAUGGAGAUUCAUUAUAACUGGGAAAAGCAUCUGGUAUGCAAUGUUAUCCUCGCUGGGGCUUUUUCAAUUUAGAGUAAAAAAAAAGAUAUUCACAUCACUGGUAUUCCUUUUGUAGCUACCAUAGAUUAGAGAUUAUUUAACUCUUCCCAGUGAUUGUUAAAUGCACGAUAAUUUAAAUGAAUUAAAUUUUAAACUUAGUAAAACAAAUUUCUCCAUAAUGUACUGGGAAUAAACAUACCAGUUUCUUUUCUUGUUGGACAGGUAUUUUGGAAGCUUUCUAGUUCUACUUCUAGGCAGGGCUUAGAGUUUCAAACACCAUAGAUUAUAUCAUGUAAGAUUACCUAUUGUACCUGUCAAAAAAAAAAAAAAAAAAAAAAAAAAAUCAGUGAUGAUGAUAUAAGUCUAUAGAUUCAUUUUUUUCUCAGAUGUUUGUUGCUUUUGUUUUUACUGCAGAAACUAUUCAGAGGAGCUGUGAGGCAUCAUUAAAAUGCCUCCAGACCAAGGGAUUCCCUCAUGGGAAUUCGAUCGAUGGCUUUUCGGAGCUUGAAGAAGAAGUUAAUGUUCACCCAGGUGGGCAUGUUGUGGCACCAGUUCACUCCCUAAGCCGUGAAUAUCUUGAACUUCCUAGUGAAUUUAACACAAAACCUACCUACCAUCAUGAUUUUGGCUCGUGGUCAAACUUCUAUCCUGACUCUCAAAAGGUGCAGCAAUGCCAAAUGAAUUGCUUUGAGAGCCAAUUUUACCCCUUUCCCAUGGAAACUCGAUUUCACUAUGCUCCAUUCAAUAUGCAUUCCCAAGGUUACCCGCAUCAGUUCCAAUUCCAAGAUUUUCAGUAUUUUGUAGUCAUAGACUUUGAGGUUACUUGUGACAAGGAAAAGAAUCCCCA
rnacentral:lncRNA from 1 species